rnacentral:tRNA from 1 species
GCCUGGGUGGCUCAGUGGGUUGAGCAUCUGACUUCCGCUCAGGUCAUGAUCUCGCGGUUUGUGGGUUCGAGCCCCGCGUCGGGCU